CCCAUUGCCUUUCUCCAAACUGUUUGCAGACAAGCUGUUGGUGAAGUGUCUUCCCUUAAGCUAAAAGCAGAAGUAGAAGAAGGAGAGAGGGAAAGAGACAAAGAGAAAGAGAGAGAGAAAUCAGCUACAAACUGCUUCCAACUACCAUCUAACAUAAUGAGUAUUUUUUUUGGAGCUAGGGCUGUGUAAUGUCAAUGACAUCAUGCCCAUUACAUUAUCCGAUUUCACAAAGAGUUGCAGAAAAUCCGAACAGGAACUCCUCAUCCAAAAACUGGAUAGACUCAGAGCAAGUUUUUAAGACAGCCCACCUUUUCAUUUUUCUCCCCAGUGCUAAGGGGGUAAGAAAUGCAAGAACUUCUCCCAGCCCCCUGAGCCAGAAUCUCCUGGAUGUACUUCACACACAUGCAGGCCCCGAGCCCAGGCCUGGCAAACCAGCAUCCAUUUAACAAACUCCUCAAACGACUGACUCUGAUGCCCACUAAAGUUUGGCAACGACUACAAUUAGUUCUUCCUUCACUGUUCUCACUGCUCCGUCCCUUCCCUGUUCAUCCAACAACCUAAGGAACCUACAGUUUGCUAUUAUAUAGUAGAGUUCUCAAUAAAAAUAUAUAUACAUAUAAGUUUCUGCUUGUAGAUCAUAUUAGCUAUGCAUCAGUUGCUUAAAAAAAGUUAUGUUUUUCCUUAGAACUUUCUCUCUUACCUUCUUAUCCCAUUUUUUCUUUUCAAUCCACUUUGGUUAGGUGCUAUUCAUAACCCAACACUUCUGGAGAACUACUCCCAUGGCUAAUGCAUUAAACAGUUAAAACAUAUAAUACUUUAGAGUUUAUUUGAAAGCCAAAUGCCCAAGAAGAGAACACUUCAAUUAUAUUUAUCAAUAUAUACUAUAUUUCACAAAACAGAGUCAGUUUAUGGGAAUUUAUAUAAUAAAACUGCAAAAUAUAAAUAGGUAAAAAAUCAGAAUGGGGAAAAUGAAAUAGGCAAUCAAGGCUAGGGCCAAGUUUAAAUGUAAACAGUUUAACUUUGAUUGAAGUUGAGCUCCCAAUUUGAAUCUGAAUUUCUGAAGCGAAGCCAAAAGGGAACCAGGAUCACGAACACAAUUCACGUUAACAACCGUAAUGAAACCUCACCGAUUUCUCAGGAGGAGCAGAGCUCCCAAGGCCCUUAGGUCUACAAAAAUGUCUGACAGUGGUUCUCAAAGUGUGCUCCCCAGAUCAGUAGUAUCGGCAUCACCUGGGAAAUUCUUUGAAAUGCAAAUAGUCAAGCUCCACCCUUAACCUAGUGAAUCAAACUUUGGAGGUGGGGCCCAGCAAUCGAUGGUUUUGAGCCCUUCCAGGGUGAUUCUGAUGCAGGCUAAAGUUUGAGAACCACUGCUUUAGCGCAUCUUCAUAAAGAGUGCAUUGAAAGUGGUUACAAACCUGCUCAGAAAUAUCCCAACAAUAAGUCAAUGGUGUAUUUUGUACAGCAAAUUCUAGUAGCAUUCUUCAGAAUAAAGCAGAUUUACAAAACCCAAAACCAUUUGGCCAAGUAUACAGCUUGGGUGUCGAAAGGAAGCACGUUUCCCAGGGCCUGGUACAUAUUAGAUUCUACAUAUUUUUUGAAUAAUUUAAUAACAAAUAAAUGCAUACCUGCACGCAUUGUUGCAUAUGCUUUAAACAAUUCCUCAUAAGUACCAAUUAUGGUCAACUGUGCUUUGAAUGCCUAUACCAAAUAUAUCAAUUUCAAAGGCUGUAAAAAUUUUUAAUAAAUUUAUUUUAGGAGGGAAAAGUCACCAAUUAUAAUCAAAUAUCUUUCUAUUUAAAUUUUUUUUUAAUUGCAAAAAUAUUUAAACCUCCACAGCACCCUCCAGGUAUCAUCCCAUGUUAGCACCACAGUCAGAAGAUAAUUAGUACUAGUUCUAGUUUUACAGACAGAAAAUACCUACAGGAGAGUUACAUGAGCUGCCAAAGGGCACCUCAGCAUGGGUUCUCGGACUUCUGGCCUAGUUGCUCCUCCUUCAUUUCAUAAACAUCCGUGUGUCUGCUGAGCAGCGACUCCAGAAGUUCGGCUCUACCUUCAAAGGCUUUUCUUACAAAUCCAUCUGGAGGAGCCUCCCCAUCUCAGGGCCCAUUAACAUGAAGCCUUCUUCCCCAUCAAGACACACAAGGCUCAAAGGAAAGAUCAUCUUGGAAGUGUGGUUUCUUUAUUUUUCAGGGGCAGUUGGAGGAAGUGCUGGUCAUAGGCAGGGAGGAGUGAAGGGUGGGCUGUGCAUGACAGGAACCUACAGCAGAUGCUGGAAGUAGAGGAUGCUGGAAGUAGCGGAUGCUGGAAGUAGAGGGGGUGGUGAUGGCCACAGGAGGAACAUGCCUGGUUGAAGCACUGUUGAUCAGCCUGCUUGGGUCACAGACUCCUCUGGCUCUCUCACUAGAAAAUCCUAACAUGGCAGCCUAUUUUAUGAGGAUCUCAGACACCUGGAAGCUCCUCCAAGCACCCCAGGUGAAGAGCCUGUAGUCUCUCUGAGUGACAUUAUUUGCAAUUGUUGUAACAACUCAUUGUAACGAGGACACAAAUCCACUCUGGGUCAUCUCAUUCCUUCCAGAACAAUUACAGGUCACAGAACCUCCGACAGGGGCUGGAGUUAGCAUCCCUUCAUCCAGUUAGUCAUCUAGCAAACAUUUAUUGAGCACCUACUGUGUGCCAGGCACCAAACUGGGUGCUGAAAAUAGGGAAAUCACAAGAGGAGAGCAGUACCAAGGGGCAGCUUGGGCACACUGUGCCUCCUGCAAAUGACCUCACCCACAGUGACCUCACCCAUUGUGACCUUGAUGGCAGUUACAUCAGGGCUGGCCUCUGACACACAUACACACACGAGUGGCACCAACUCAUAUUUGCUUUCCUGGGUGCAUGUCCUCUGAGGACACUGAGUCAGACGUGGAAGUUUCUAUUGGGGUAGGGGCAGACGUGAUCUUGAGAAUCACUCGCUGACUGUACUCCUUCCCUCUGGCUGUAAUACACGCUUUCUUCAUCAUCCUGUCUCUCUCUCCUCUUUUCCUAUUGCCCUUUGUCACACCUUCUGCCUUCUCUUGGCUCUAGGUCCCCAAUCUGCCAAAGUAGGAAAAAGUCCUGCUUAUGAUCCUUGGGUCCCCAGUUCUGGAAGCAGUGAAGGACUGAAGCAAUGGAAUACGUAGGAAAGAACAAGGCAUCCUGACAGGAAAAAGGCACAGGAGGGUAAAAGCAGGAAUUCAGCCCCCUUCACCCUCAAGCUCAUAGCUCAAGAAAAAGUUAAACCUAAGAACUUCCCCAGGCACUGUUUUGAACAGACUGGGGGAAGAAGCUGCUGAGAUGAAAUCAAACAACUCUCCACACCCCACAACAGAUCCCACUGCUGCAGCCUCUGAACUGAGUUUUGAAGCCAUGCAGGUAGGAGCCACCUCUGGUCUCCCAGGGCCUUUAAUCGUGGAAUAACUCACACUUCCCUAUGCACGGCAAUUGUGGGUAAGUCUAACUGUGUGUGUGAGAUGGACUGCGUCUCUCGCUCUUUUUCUUCCCAAAUGAUCAUUCCCAUCCCUCCCAUCCCUCUACAAUACUGAGAUCCAGGGUAUUCAGUGUAAAAUUUCAUUGCUGCACCACAAUGAAACAGUCUAAUGAACUCUGUGGUAUUAAAGAUAGCUAGAGCUACCUAGCAUGGUUCCAGUUGAACUAAACCCAUGCUUACUCCUUAAAUUCCUCAGCCCACUGGAAGCCAAGUAGAUAAGACAACUGUGGAGGAAAAUAAAAGAGUAGAAUAUCUUGUCUUUCUUUUGCUUUUAAUUUUAAAAAUGUUUGUAUAUUAUCCAACAAUACAAAUCCCUUGUUUCCUUUUCAUCCAAAAAAGAAAGAAAGAAAGAAAAACACACAUGGCUUUAAGAAAUGUAAAUAUUUAGUUCCAGGAUACAUUUUAGCCUCUGAAUUUUUCAAUACCGUGAAGCAAAGAAAAAUAAUUCCAUUUACUCAACCCACAUUCUUCCUUUUCCCCUUCACACUGUAGAAGAAAACAUUUCCAAACAGACUAUAUAACAUUAUUUGGUGUCUAAAUGUUGCUGUCCCUAAAGAUAGGGACAUGCUCAAAUGACAAGGUAAUAUAAUUCUAUAUAUACUAUAUAAAAUGAUAUAGCAGUUACAUGGUGUUCCCAGUAAGAAUUCUUAUUUCAUAGCUCUGUAAAACUCCAUCUGUGGUGAGGUGGCUUUGAAAUUAUCCACCAAGACUCUUACAUUCAAAAACAGUAUUGUCCAAUAGAACUUUCUGCCUUGAUGGAAAUGCUCUAUAUCUGAGAUAUCCAAUAGGUAGCCAUGAGCCAUAUGUAGCUAUUGAUAACUUGAAAUGUGGCUAAUGUGUCUGCAGAUCUGAAUUUUUAAAUUUUAAUUCAAUUUAAACUUAAGUGGCCACAUGUGGCUAGUGGCCACUAUACUGGGCAGCACAGUUCUAAAACGUCUAAAAAGUUUAGACUUGUCAGUGUUUUGCUAUUAUCAUUUUUAAACAGAAAAUUAGGAUACAAGCUGCCUCGAAAGUAGAUCAGUCUACUUACAUUCCUAAAGAAAUUCCAUCUCAGAGUAAUAUACAUGGUCUGUAUCCCCAUAUUGAUGGAAAGUAGUUCCACCUAGUAUAACAUGACUCAGAAAACUUGACACCUGAAGUAUCUCCCAUCAAGGAAGAUACAACAGAAAUGCAAACAGAAAGUGUUAACACUACCAGAAGUCUAAAAUAUCAAGGUGUUCACCGGGGGGGGAAACAUAAGAAUUAAGCCAAUAAUAUGCGAUAUUUCAUUCUGUUCUUCAGAGGAAUAAUUUUCAGGCUCUGACACUCCUGAGUUGACAGUCCCACCCGCGGAUCUAGGACUAGGGACUCAGAGGAAGGGAUAUUAGCAUGCUGCUUCAGUUGCGGCUGCCUGGGCGUGGCUUGAACCGCUGCUACCCAGCCCUGCCCCAGAACAAUGCGGUCCACACAAACUGGAAAUCAAAGUCAUCUGGAGGUUCGCUCAUUCUUGAAUUCAGUCACUCAUUUAACAAACAUUUCAUGAGCACCUACCCAUGGCAAGCAUCAAGUUAGGCACAAAAAUAUAAAGUUGAGUGACACAGAGUUUCUGUCCUUCAGGACUUACAUUGGAAGGAAAAGCAUAUAAAUUGAUCAUGCUCCAACACAGGAAAUGCCUGAUGAGCACAGAGAGUGAUAGGACUCUAUGGAAGGUUACCUAACCCAUCCUGGGAGGGGCCGAGGAAGGCUUCCUGGAGGAGGUGACACCUGAGAUGAGUCCUCAGAAUGAGAAGGAGUUAGUAAGGCAAAAGCAGGGAAGGGAGCAUUCCAAGCAGUAUGGAUAAUAAAGGUGAGAAACAGCCUAAAAGGUAUGGCACGCACAUGGAACAUAGCAAGACAGUGUGGCUCAAGUCUAAAGUUGGAGUCAGGGAGUGGUAAGAAAAGAGCCUAAAAUGUCACCAAGGGCCAGAGGAGAGCCAGUAGAUUAAGAAGUUUGGUCUUUGAUUUCCAUAUAAUGGGAGUUACCAGAGGGCUUCAACCAGGGGAGAUGUCCUGUUAGAGAGAGGCCACCUGGUGGUGUACUGGAUUUGCAAGAACAAAAACAAGGCAGGAGGUUGUGGCUUUAUCUUGGAGAGUAAUAACAAGGGCCUGCAUUCAGGCAGCAGUAGUGAGAAUCCAGACAAGAGAUAACUCAGAAAUUUCCAGAACUAGCAAGCAAACAGUAAUUAGAAAUCAGUCAUACUGGGUGCCUGGGUGAAUAUAGGAGCUAAAGAAAACAGGCACUAAGGAUGACUCCAUGGAUGAGGAUAACUAAAAGAGGCUCGGCCUCUGUGAGUUUAAGGAGCCUCUCAGAUAUAUACUUGACAGCCAGCAAAUGGCUGGACAUCAGGCUACAGUGCAAGGCAGAGACAUGGGAGUGAUGGGCACAUAGAUGGUGAUGAAAACCCAGUGAGAAGAUGAAGCCUUGAAGCCAGAGUAUGUGAGAAGAGAGUAGCAGUACUCCCAGAACUUAACUCCACAGCAAGGGGUGAGUAAAGGAAGAAAAGUCCACGAAGGAGAUACAGGAUAGAGAAACAGCAAGAAAAUCAAAAGCAUGGACCAUCCCUUCCAGAAGCCAAAGACUCUUCAGGAGAAGUGAGUAGAUAAGGUGUAUCAACUGCAACAAGGAGGUCAAGAAAAAUAAGGACUAUAGCACAUCCACUGGAUUUGACAAGCAGAAGGAUCAUUAGUAAGCACAAGACAUGCAAAAAUGGAAAACACUGAGAACAUUUCACAGCCAAGGGAAAGAGAUAGUCAAGAUGCAAAGGUGGAAAAUUAGAGAGACAGGAAGGCACAAUGACUAAUAGAGUAAGGCCUAGGAGGAAGCAUGAGGGAAGGGAUAAACCUGGAGACAAGCAGGUGAGGAUAACUAUGACUACACAUCCGUUUGCAGACAUCAGGACAGGAAAUUGGUGGCAACCAUUCGAGGAAGUCUCAAGUUUCUUAAUGAAGUCAGAUGCAAGGUCAUCUGUUAAGAGGGAGGGCAGUGGAGAAGCCUUAGGAGAACAAUGACUUCUUGGAGUAAUUGUUCAGUAGAAGCGGGGAGAAACGGGCAGCACCAACGUGCUCAGCCACAAGUCUCCCCUGCACAACUCGGUGGCCCAGGCGCAGAGUGGAGAAGGCAGUCCUGGCUUCUGCCUGGGUCUGGAGUGCUGCUGGCCAAAGGUGGCAGAA